ensembl:lincRNA linc-154 ncRNA
CUAAGGAAUGAAUAAGUUAGUUCAUAGAGUUCACGUUAUACGAUCUUCUUAGCCACGUCGUUGGUCAAUACACGUUGAUACCCAACAAUAAAUAAAUUGAAGUUUAAUUAAUUUAAAAAAAAUAAGAGGAAAUAAUACACAAGUACCCAUUGAACUAGGUUUAUAAAAAAGUUUGGAUAAAGGUUUCGCAUAUUUUCAAUUAGAAUUGAUUCAACAAAAAUGAAGAAAUUUCAAAAACAUCAUACCCCAAAAAUUGAAUCUUUGGAUUUUUCACUCCCAAAUGGCCAGUGCACAACAAAAGGUAACAUAAAAAUGUGUGACUUAGUAGAUUCAAAAUAUUGUAAAACAGAAGGACAAGGAAGUAAAGUAUUCGGUGGCUCACUUGGUUUUUGAUCUAAAAAAAACUACUCAUAAUGAGUCUAAACAAAUGAAACCCGUAUAAAUUUUGUAUUACGAGAGGACUUGUAUAAGAGGAUUCAUAUGAAGAAAAUCUAGAACAAUCUCUAGAGAAUAAUGUCCGUAAAUACUAAAAACGGGACUAUCGCGGUUAGCCAACUACUUCAAAAAUAUUGAUGCCCAUUUUAUAAACGGUAAAACCCCUAACUGUAACCUUGGUCAAUAAUUUAUUAAAAUAUACAAGUUUUUAUAUAUUACUAAACAAAAACUUCAAAUAAAAAGGCAACGCAUAUUGUCACGUCAACACUUUUCUUCAAUGUGUGAAUGUUUUUCAGUAUUCGCAGAUUUUUAGAGCGCCAAUUGACUUGUAGUAAAAACUCUGUUUUUUUUUAAAUAUACAAUGUGAGAAAAAACAAUAACACGGCGGAGAACACCAAAUGCCGUGUUAAUUCUGUACAGUCGACCAUAAAAAACUCGAAUGAAUUGCCACGUAAAGAACCACAGACGUUUUUUUUUCGAUCAGCAAUUAAAAACUGAAAUUUUUAGAUAGUUGUUCUUUCAGAAGAAGAAGUUUUAAAUUUUUUUUGCUUUCAGUUUCCUGAACUGUUACUUCAUUAUAAAAUGGUAGAUUUCUGAAAUUGAACUGAUCUGAAACACGGCGAUUUUUCUGGCACGAGAAUAUAAGUGGAUUUAGUUAAAGUUAACCUUGCAUAAUUUGACAACUUUUUAUUUUUUUGAAAAUUGUUUAAUUUGUUAAACGAUACUUUUAGUAGUGGGUGUCUUUUUUUUUCACAAACAAGCAGGUGCAUUUGCCAAGUCAAAUACGAUAUGACUCCGUGCAUCUGCUGGUUUUCAUUUCUUUUUACUUCCCGGUUGACCGAUACUAUUUCACAGGUGUUACAAGUUUAAUUCAGAAAUAUUUCGUCAACUCAUUUCCAUAAUUUUCAUGCUCCUCUAAUUUUCAUUACCUAAUAUCAAGUUGUUGUGCAAACGAGUAAACUGAAUGCAUAAUCUUGUGAGCGAGAAUCACAUAUCUUCCAUCUGUUGCAGAUGAAUAUUGCACCAACACCUGCCAUUGGCUAAUUACUCUAUUGAAGCCGUUCCGUAUUCCAUUCUGUUCUUUCUCCAUUCAGACAAGCCGAACGAUGACUGAUCAGGUCAUGCAGGUGCAUGUGAAAGAUUCGCGGUUUUAUUUUAUUUGACUCAUGGGUUCCCUUAUUCUCGGUCCUUUCAAGAUUUUAUGUUUCAUAAAGAGCUUGGUGUUGUGCAACAUUUUACAUUUUGUGCCCUAAUUUAAGGAGAUGAUUAACUGUUCUUUUAAUAAUAAAGUUUUAUUAAAAUUACCCCUUGUCAAACUGAUUGUGAAAACUUUUUUCUGCAAUUGAAAAUUUCCUGCAUUUUUUGAUGAUUUUUUCACACUUUUAAAUGAAAACUUGAAUCGAAUCGUUUUUCCUUUGAAAAAACCGAAUUAACUAAAAAAUGCUACUUGCCUACGCUUUUUUAUAUUUGAAAUCGAAUGAAACUGGCAAAUGUAAACUUUUUAGUGUGGGAGCAAGUACUAUUUUGGAAAUAGUUAUUUCAGUUGAAUAAAGUGUCCACUGAACUAGUCAUGAACUAGUCAUAAACUAGUCAAAAAAAAUCUAGUACCUUACGUUUCAAAAAAAUUUUCAAAAAAUUUACAAAUGUUAUUAUAACAAAUCAUUGAUUUAAACGAAUAAAUCUUCUCUCUCCUUGUCAUUAGAAAAUCGUAAUGCCCCGCCCUCGCCACACAAACUACAGCAGUGCGCGGAACCCGGCAGGUGUCGGCCGCCGCCAAACACCUACUCCUGCAUCGUUCUGUGUGUUUUAAUGUGUUUUUUGUUGAGGUAUCUUUAUAUCAAUAAUGAAUAAUGUCGCCACCCCAUAGAAAUAUUUUCUAUGUCAACCUCUUGCACGGUUGCCGUAGUUAAUUUU